rnacentral:rRNA from 1 species
UACAGAGGUCCCAAGCGUUGUUCGGAUUCACUGGGCGUAAAGGGUGCGUAGGCGGUCGGGUAAGUCUGAUGUGAAAUCUCACAGCUUAACUGUGAAACUGCAUUGGAUACUAUUCGGCUUGAGAGUUGGAGGGGGGACUGGAAUUCUCGGUGUAGCAGUGAAAUGCGUAGAUAUCAAGAGGAACACCAGUGGCGAAGGCGAGUCCCUGGACAACUUCUGACGCUGAGGCACGAAAGCUAGGGGAGCAAACAGG